rnacentral:rRNA from 1 species
UACGAAGGGGGCUAGCGUUGCUCGGAAUCACUGGGCGUAAAGCGCACGUAGGCGGGUCUUAAGUCAGGGGUGAAAUCCCGGAGCUCAACUCCGGAACUGCCUUUGAUACUGGAGAUCUUGAGUCCGGGAGAGGUGAGUGGAAUUCCUGGUGUAGCGGUGAAAUGCGUAGAUAUCUGGAGGAACACCGGUGGCGAAGGCGGCAUCCUGGACCGACACUGACGCUGAGGAGCGAAAGCCAGGGGAGCAAAGCGGG